AAUGGAUUCAUAACAAGUUUAAAUUUAAGGUUAUUUCAUUUAUAUAGCACUUUAAAAGCAAACAAGUUUGCACAAAAUUGCUUCACAAAGACAAAAA